GAAAUAUUAAAGCUUUGAGACAUUGGAGUAGAUUGAGGAAGGGGUAGAUUAGAUGGAGGAGAAGGGAUCGGUUAAAUGAAAUAAGAUGAAAGGAAAGGGGAGGGCUACAUUAGAUAAGGUAGAGAGGAAGAGGAAGGGGAGGAUAUGUAAAAUGUAAAUGUCCAUGCGAGAUGAAAGUGGAGGUGGAGAGACCGAGGAAAAGCAACCAUCUAUCCAAAAGAAGGAAGCUGCUCCGGUCGGUUUAUGCAACAAAAAGAUGGAAGAAAGAAGAUGCCAGCCGCAGAUGCUCAGCUACCUUGUAUGGAGAGAAGAAUUAUUUGUCUUAUUUUCUGUUAGUUGACCGUGAGCUCAAGUAUGUAUUGCAUCAGCAACUUGAUUUGAGAGAAAAAUAACUACACAACUUGUUCUUACUCUAGAGAGAGAGCCUAAUAUUGAGGCGUAGACAGAGAGCCUAAUAUUGAG